rnacentral:rRNA from 1 species
AAGGCAGCAGGCGCGCAAAUUACCCACUCCCGGCACGGGGAGGUAGUGACGAAAAAUAACGAUACGGGACUCAUCCGAGGCCCCGUAAUCGGAAUGAGUACACUCUAAACCCUUUAACGAGGAUCAAUUGGAGGGCAAGUCUGGUGCCAGCAGCCGCGGUAAUUCCAGCUCCAAUAGCGUAUAUUAAAGUUGUUGCGGUUAAAAAGCUCGUAGUCGAAUUUGUGUUUCGCGCCGCCGGUUCAUCGCUCGCGGUGUUCAACUGGCGUGUCGCGGAACGUCCUGCCGGUGGGACCGGGCGUUCGCGUCCGGCCCCAACUUUAAAUCCUGCCGCGGUGCUCUUCGCUGAGUGUCGAGGUAGGCCGGCACGUUUACUUUGAACAAAUUAGAGUGCUCAAAGCAGGCUAAAAUUUCGCCUGAAUAUUCUGUGCANGGAAUAAUGGAAUAGGACCUCGGUUCUAUUUUGUUGGUUUUCGGAACCCCGAGGUAAUGAUUAAUAGGAACGGAUGGGGGCAUUCGUAUUGCGACGUUAGAGGUGAAAUUCUUGGAUCGUCGCAAGACGGACAGAAGCGAAAGCAUUUGCCAAAAACGUUUUCAUUGAUCAAGAACGAAAGUUAGAGGUUCGAAGGCGAUCAGAUACCGCCCUAGUUCUAACCAUAAACGAUGCCAGCUAGCGAUCCGCCGACGUUCCUCCGAUGACUCGGCGGGCAGCUUCCGGGAAACCAAAGCUUUUGGGUUCCGGGGGAAGUAUGGUUGCAAAACUGAAA